rnacentral:tRNA from 1 species
GGGGUUGUGGCUCAACGGUAGAGCACUUGCCUAGCACAUGCAAGACCCUGCGUUUGAUCCUCAGCACUACA